CAACCGUUGAAGGAAGAAGGAAGGGAGACUCACUGAGAGGGACCUCUCCUCCGCCAUUUUUGUCAAUUCUUCAAGCAAACUCUCUCUUUCACAGAUCUCUCUCUCUCUCUCUCUCUCUCUCUACCUGUGCUUUUGGUUUGGUUUCGUUUUCUUAGUAAUAUUUAUGACCAUGUCCUUUGGAUCACUGCUCUCUGCCUAUCUUGCUUGACUCCUUUAAUCUCUCUGGGUUUUGGA
rnacentral:misc_RNA from 1 species